UCCUAGCAACCUGGUUGCAAUUUGUGUAAUGAAGUCUGUUGUUUGUUUUCGUUAUAACUACUAUACCAUUUACUCGGCUUAGAGCUUAGUGACACCAUUGACACUAAAAGAUAUCCAUCUUAAUUCCUUUUGUUUCACAAUCGUCUAAGAUUUUGAAAUCCUAAACAAAAAUUUGCCUUACACCGCUGCAGAUAAUUAGGAAGGAGUGCAGUAUUAGCGGUAUUAGAGCACAAUAAUGUGUGCUAAGAAAUUUGUUUGCCUAGUACUGGAUGGGAUGACGUAAGUAACACUUGAUUUCGGCAGUAAAAAGGAACUACUUGUAUGAAGGAUAAGUGUUUAAAAAAAAGUUUUGGUUUUGUAAUGAGGAGAAAACAGAAUGGUUCUUUAGGUGUGAGUGUAAUGUAACAGGUGUUAUAGGUAUACUAUACUGUACUUAAUAGGCUUAACUGCACUUUUCCAGGUAGAUUUCCACAAAAUGGCAUACUAAUUGCAGAUAACAUGGUGACAAGAUAGUGAUAUACAAGCAGAAGACUGAUGACCCUGUGGUUUCAGUAUGACUGUGUCUUUCCUAUGAAAAAUUACCUGGCUGCACCUCCCGUUCUGGAGCUCAACUUUCUAAAGGAUUUUGAUCUGGACAAGCUUAGAAAGCUUCUCAGAAUAGAAUCAAAUCUUGGUAGGACAUAUCAAUUGAUAUGGAUGGAAGUUCAGAUAGGGUCUCGCGAUUUAAGGAGGUGAAUCAGCAUUUGGCUUGCGUUAUUGGACCUUGAUUGGAGCCAUUGGUGUCCGGUGGUAGUGCAUAAACAGAUGUCAGUAUAGAUACAAGUUGAUGUACGUAAUGGAGCAAAAGCUAAGAAUUAAAUACUAAUGAACGUUGUAGCAAUUUUUUUAUGGAAUUUGCCUGUUUGUAAGUUGUCUUGCCAGUCGCUUACCAUACUUGCUAAUAGGCAAAUAACAUCUUACUGUAUAUGUACAAUGUAGGAUACGUACACAGUCUACCUUCCUUGUCUAA